rnacentral:misc_RNA from 1 species
CCGACGCCCGAACAGUGCGAUGCGUGGAUCGAACUGUCGGCGAUCCUCGACGACCCGGAAUUCGUCAACACCAUGCGCGCCAACGCGAAAGAGGUCUGGGACAAUGCCGACUUCGACCUCGCCGCCUGGCAGCAGGCCGGCGAUCCGUUCCUGGCGAAAGCGAAAAAUGCCAUCGAGCAGGGGUUCGGACCGGAAUCGGAGACAGCCCAUGCGCUUGCGCAGGAAUGGCUGGAAACCUCCGCGCCUGUGAUGGGCCGCGCGCCGGAUGACGACUACAAGGCGUGGCUGCGCACGCGAUACGCUGCGCAUGAUGCCCGCGCGGUGCGCUAUUGGGAGCUUGUCGCGAUCAUGAAAGGCCAGUCGCCGCAGACCAGCCCCAACCGG